rnacentral:rRNA from 1 species
AACGAACGCUGGCGGCAUGCCUAACACAUGCAAGUCGAACGAAAACGUCGGGCCUUGUGGCGCACGGGUGCGUAACGCCGGGGAAGCUGCCCUUAGGUUCGGUAUAACUCACCGAAAGGGGAGUUAAUACCGCUUAAUCUCAUAGGACAUAAGAUCUAUCGCCUUAGGAUGGGCGUGCGUUAGUUUCGCCGGUUGGUAGGGGACUAGCCGACCAUGGCGACGUUGCUGAGCUGGUGGGAGAGGAUGACUAGCCACACUGGGACUGAGACACGGGCCAGACUCCUACGGGAGGCAGCGGUAGAGAGUAUUAGACGAUGAGCGAAAGCCUAGCACAGCAACGCCGCGUGUGUGAUGAAGGCGUUAGGGUUGUAAAGCUGUUUUAGCCGGGAUGAUAGUGACGGUACCGGGUGAAUAAGCACCGGCUAACUACGUG